CCUACGGGUGGCAGCAGUGAGGAAUAUUGGUCAAUGGGCGCGAGCCUGAACCAGCCAAGUAGCGUGAAGGAUGACGGCACUAAGGGUUGUAAACUUCUUUUAUAAAGGAAUAAAGUGAGGCACGGGUGCCUGUUUGUAUGUACUUUAUGAAUAAGGAUCGGCUAACUCCGUGCCAGCAGCCGCGGUAAUACGGAGGAUCCGAGCGUUAUCCGGAUUUAUUGGGUUUAAAGGGAGCGGAGGUGGGUUGUUAAGUCAGUUGUGAAAGUUUGCGGCUCAACCCUAAAAGUGCGAUUGAUACUGGCAGUCUUGAGUUCAGUUGAGGUAGGCGGAAUUCGUGGUGUAGCGGUGAAAUGCUUAGAUAUCACGAAGAACUCCGAUUGCGAAGGCAGCUUACUAAACUGCCACUGACGUUGAUGCUCGAAAGUGUGGGUAUCAAACAGGAUUAGAUACCCGUGUAGUC
rnacentral:rRNA from 1 species